UUGCCCAGUAACGGCGAGUGAAGCGGCAACAGCUCAAAUUUGAAAUCUGGCCCUAGGCCCGAGUUGUAAUUUGCAGAGGAUGUUUCUGGCGACGCGCCUUCCGAGUUCCCUGGAACGGGACGCCAUAGAGGGUGAGAGCCCCGUACGGUUGGAUGCCUAGCCUCUGUGAAACUCCUUCGACGAGUCGAGUAGUUUGGGAAUGCUGCUCUAAAUGGGAGGUAUACGUCUUCUAAAGCUAAAUACCGGCCAGAGACCGAUAGCGCACAAGUAGAGUGAUCGAAAGAUGAAAAGCACUUUGAAAAGAGGGUUAAAUAGUACGUGAAAUUGUUGAAAGGGAAGCACUUAUGACCAGACUUGGGCAGGUUGAUCAUCCUCCGUUCUCGGUGGUGCACUCUGCCUGUCCAGGCCAGCAUCAGUUCGCUUCGGGGGAUAAAGGUUUCGGGAAUGUGGCUCCCUCGGGAGUGUUAUAGCCCGUUGCGUAAUACCCUGGGGCGGACUGAGGUUCGCGCUCUGCAAGGAUGCUGGCGUAAUGGUCAUCAGUGACCCGUCUUGAAACACGGACCAAGGAGUCGUCUUCGUAUGCGAGUGUUCGGGUGUCAAACCCCUACGCGUAAUGAAAGUGAACGUAGGUCAGAGCUUCGGCGCAUCACCGACCGAUCCUGAUGUUCUCGGAUGGAUUUGAGUAAGAGCAUACCGGGCCGGACCCGAAAGAAGGUGAACUAUGCCUGAAUAGGGUGAAGCCAGAGGAAACUCUGGUGGAGGCUCGCAGCGGUUCUGACGUGCAAAUCGAUCGUCAAAUAUGGGCUUG
rnacentral:rRNA from 1 species